CUGCCCUAUGGUAUGGCCAGAAACAUCCUGAUAUGACUCUUCUAUUAUUAAACACAUUUGUAGAACAAAUGGAUGGAUUGUCGAUCAACAGCAUCACAUGGAAGGCAGGCAACGAACCUGUGCAUUCCAAGGUGUACUGCUUCAGCUGCUGCGCUGAUGCGCCAGCACGGGCAGCCAUGCAGCACUUAACCCAGUUUAACGGGUAUUACGGCUGUGGAUGGUGCUUGCAUCCUGGGGUUGCUGUGGAUGGAACGGUCAAGUAUCCUGUGGACACUAUUGCACCUGAUAGGACAGCAGAAGGCACAAAGAAGAUCAUGAUUGAGGCCGCUGAAGCUGGAAGACCGGUUCAGGGCGCAAAAGGCGUCACACCUUUGAUUGAUCUUCAUCACUUUAAUAUAAUCUGGGGCUUUACCCCA